AAGAGUAUAGUCAACAACCUGGUGAUAAAGGUUCUUGCAAUCCUGGAUCAUUUGGCAACAAUCCCGAGGGUCUCUUUCCUGUUAAUAUAUAUUCAUCAUCCCUGAGUCGUUGUUUGGUUGCUCGUUAAUAUUAAGGUUAAUAUUUAAGUUACUAUUGUACCAAAUGCUUCAUUGCCUAUAUCUGUUGAUGGCGGAGACGUAUCUCUGGUUGGUCAGGCAAUAGGAUUAAUUGUGCCAUGGCAAUGAAACUUCUUGAAUUUGUUGCUGAAUGUGAAAAGGAAACAAGAAGCGGUUAUUUUGCCUAGCUAAAUGGUUGUACUUGUGGGUUCUUGAAGCGUGGUUACUACUUGGUGCUGUGUUGUUGUCGUUUCUUUUUUUUUAGGUGUUUUAUUUAGAGAAUAUGACAUUUUAUUUUCGAAUUUGGAUUAAAGUUACUCUUAGA